ACAAACUUGGUCAUUUAGAGGAAGUAAAAGUCGUAACAAGGUCUCCGUUGGUGAACCAGCGGAGGGAUCAUUAUAGAGUUAAAAAAAACUCCUAAACCCAUGUGAACUUAUCAUGUUGCCUCGGCGGGACCUACCCUGUAACCUACCCUACAAGGGCUACCCUGUAGCCCUCGUCCAGGGAGCAGGUCUCACUGUAGUGGGCCGCCGGUGGACUUUUAAACUCGUUAUUUUAGUGGAAUCUGAGCGUCUUAUUUUAAUAAGUCAAAACUUUCAACAACGGAUCUCUUGGUUCUGGCAUCGAUGAAGAACGCAGC
rnacentral:misc_RNA from 1 species